AUCUUCGAAAUAUCGAGAGGGGCGGCGCGUUGGGGAUCCUUGUGCGCCGGUACCGCCAUGGGGUGAUUCAUGAAAGGUGGCGUCGAGUCCCCGAUGGGUGGUCAGGGAGAGUCGCUGGUGCUAACCACGCGCCAUUGGGGUCUUUCCAGAUGAGAAUAUUCACCGGGGGCACACAAAUUGCUCGUCGGAGUGGACGCUUCGCCUUGGAUCAGCG
rnacentral:lncRNA from 7 species